rnacentral:rRNA from 1 species
UACAGAGGGUGCGAGCGUUAAUCGGAAUUACUGGGCGUAAAGCGUGCGUAGACGGUUAUCUAAGUCGGAUGUGAAAGCCCCGGGCUCAACCUGGGAAUUGCAUUCGAGACUGAAUAGCUAGGGUACGGUAGAGGGAAGUGGAAUUUCCGGUGUAGCGGUGAAAUGCGUAGAUAUCGUAAGGAAGACCAGUGGCGAAGGCGGGUCUCGUGGACAGUUCCGUGACGCUGAGGCACGAAGGUCAGGGGAGCAAACGGG